GAUGAACGCUGGCGGCGUGCCUAAUACAUGCAAGUCGAGCGAACAGAUAAGGAGCUUGCUCCUUUGACGUUAGCGGCGGACGGGUGAGUAACACGUGGGUAACCUACCUAUAAGACUGGGAUAACUUCGGGAAACCGGAGCUAAUCCCGGAUAAUAUUUCGAACCGCAUGGUUCGAUAGUGAAAGAUGGUUUUGCUAUCACUUAUAGAUGGACCCGCGCCGUAUUAGCUAGUUGGUAAGGUAACGGCUUACCAAGGCGACGAUACGUAGCCGACCUGAGAGGGUGAUCGGCCACACUGGAACUGAGACACGGUCCAGACUCCUACGGGAGGCAGCAGUAGGGAAUCUUCCGCAAUGGGCGAAAGCCUGACGGAGCAACGCCGCGUGAGUGAUGAAGGUCUUCGGAUCGUAAAACUCUGUUAUUAGGGAAGAACAUACGUGUAAGUAACUGUGCACGUCUUGACGGUACCUAAUCAGAAAGCCACGGCUAACUACGUG
rnacentral:rRNA from 1 species